UACAGAGGUCUCAACCGUUGUUCGGAUUCAUUGGGCGUAAAGGGUGCGUAGGCGGUCGCGCAAGUCGGAUGUGAAAUCUCGAGGCUCAACCUCGAAACUGCAUUCGAUACUGCGUGGCUAGAGUGCUGGAGGGGAGACUGGAAUUUACGGUGUAGCAGUGAAAUGCGUAGAGAUCGUAAGGAAGACCAGUGGCGAAGGCGAGUUUCUGGACAGUUACUGACGCUGAGGCACGAAGGCCAGGGGAGCAAACGGG
rnacentral:rRNA from 1 species